rnacentral:tRNA from 1 species
GCCCCCGUAGCUUAAUUGGAGAGAGCUCCGGUUUCCUCCUGCCCGCCAAGCCUUAAGUGGCUAGCGAUGGCAGGCGGGAAUCCGCGGGUUACGGGUUCGAUUCCCGUCGGGGGUU